GACGAACGCUGGCGGCGUGCCUAAUACAUGCAAGUUGAGCGCUGAAGGUUGGUACUUGUACCAACUGGAUGAGCAGCGAACGGGUGAGUAACGCGUGGGGAAUCUGCCUUUGAGCGGGGGACAACAUUUGGAAACGAAUGCUAAUACCGCAUAAAAACUUUAAACACAAGUUUUAAGUUUGAAAGAUGCAAUUGCAUCACUCAAAGAUGAUCCCGCGUUGUAUUAGCUAGUUGGUGAGGUAAAGGCUCACCAAGGCGAUGAUACAUAGCCGACCUGAGAGGGUGAUCGGCCACAUUGGGACUUAGACACGGCCCAAACUCCUACGGGAGGCAGCAGUAGGGAAUCUUCGGCAAUGGACGAAAGUCUGACCGGGCAACGCCGCGUGAGUGAAGAAGGUUUUCGGAUCGUAAAACUCUGUUGGUAGAGAAGAACGUUGGUGAGAGUGGAAAGCUCAUCAAGUGACGGUAACUACCCAGAAAGGGACGGCUAACUACGUG
rnacentral:rRNA from 1 species